rnacentral:tRNA from 1 species
GCCUGGGUGGCUCAGUCGGUUGAGCGUCUGACUUUGGCUCAGGUCAUGAUCUCGCGGUCCGUGGGUUCGAGCCCUGCGUCAGGCU